rnacentral:rRNA from 1 species
UGGGGAAUAUUGAACAAUGGGCGCAAGCCUGAUCCAGCCAUGCCGCGUGAGUGAUGAAGGCCCUAGGGUUGCAAAGCUCUUUCACCGGUGAAGAUAAUGACGGUAACCGGAGAAGAAGCCCCGGCUAACUUCGUGCCAGCAGCCGCGGUAAUACGAAGGGGGCUAGCGUUGUUCGGAAUUACUGGGCGUAAAGCGCACGUAGGCGGAUCGAUCAGUUAGGGGUGAAAUCCCGGGGCUCAACCCCGGAACUGCCUCUAAUACUGUCGAUCUGGAGUUCGAGAGAGGUGAGUGGAAUUCCUGGUGUAGAGGUGAAAUUCGUAGAUUUUCGGAGGAACACCAGUGGCGAAGGCGGCUCACUGGCUCGAUACUGACGCUGAGGUGCGAAAGCGUGGGGAGCAAACA